AUUGAACGCUGGCGGCAGGCCUAACACAUGUAAGUCCAGCGGAUGAAGGGGGCUUGUUCCCGGAUUCCGCAGCGGACGGGUGUGUAAUGCCCAGGAAUGUGCCUGGUAGAGGGGGAUAACGUCCGGAAACGGGCGCUAAUACCGCUUACGUCUUGAGGGAGAAAGAGGGAGACCUUCGGAGCUCAUGCUAUCAGAUGAGCUUAGGUCGGAUUAGCUAGUUGGUGUGGUAAAGACCUACAAAGGCGACGAUCCGUAACUGGUCUGAGAGGAUGAUCAGUCACACUGGAACUGAGACACGGUCCAGACUCCUACGGGAGGCAGCAGUGGGGAAUAUUGGACGAUGGGCGAAAGCCUGAUCCAGCCAUGCCGCGUGUGUGAAGAAGGUCUUCGGAUUGUAAAGCACUUUAAGUUGGGAGGAAGGGCAGUAAGUUAAGACCUAGCUGUUGUGACGUUACCAACAGAAUAAGCACCGGCUAACUUCAUG
rnacentral:rRNA from 1 species